UAAAUACGGCCGGAUCUUCCUUCCUUCAUCACUUGAGCUUGAGUUGUUCAUUUUGUGACACCAUCGGAGCACCGAUCACUGUUGGAUUUGUUUACUUUUAGAAACUCGCUGCAUUAUGAAGUUUUUGGUUGGCAUUUGCCUCUUCGUUCUCUUGGCAUGUGUCACUUCCCAAGAUUUCGACGGCUUUGAUGGAUUCGACGCCUCUUCCUUUGGUGGUGCCAAUUUUGGUGGGGAUGAUCUAUCUGGAUUUGACGGGUCAAGUUUCGCCGGUCUUCCAAAUGGAGCUGGCUCUUUUGGUGGUUCCGAUUUUGAGGGAACAGGAGGAGAUUUCAACCUGGGACAAUUUGGAAUUGGAGAGUCUGGCAGAUUUGAGGGAGACCCGGGACUUUUUCUUAGGUUUCAGAAGAAGUGAAUGAAUUAAAUCAACAGAAUUGUGUUGUACAGAGCUUGUAAAUAGGCAUGCAUGGGAGGCGGUAAAAUUAUACAUUAAUCCAAAAUGCACCCCGCAUUUCAUUCAGCUUCAUCCAAAUUAAAAAUGGUCGUCUUGGAAAUAUAUAGAAAAGAUGGUCAUUUAUGAUUCUGUAUAUAGUAAUUGUUUGCAUUUACUAUCAUGUUAUGUCUUACUCGUUCUUUCUGCUGUACAUAGAUUAGUUGUCACUGUUUUUAGUUUUAAUUCGUAGAAUAGAGAAAUUUUACUAAUGUGUAUUAUUUUAUCUCAUUCAGUGCAAUACACAGUAUCAAAGACUGACAUUUCAAAAAAGGGUAGCAUUUUUUGCAUAUUUUUAUUUUAAGUUCGCUCCUGCAAACUCACUUUUCGUUAUUUGUUGAUUUCCAUCAAUUUUAUCAAAACUGGUGCUAACUUCUACUUACUUUUAUAGAUAUUAUUAUUACACUUAAAUUCAGAUGAUUUUUAAAAUGUUGAUUGAAGAUAGGAGCGAUAAUUGUAUUUCUAAAAGAAAAAUGAAUCGAAAUAGACUAACUAGCAAUUAGUAGAUGCCCAAUGUUUGUAACUGUUGAAGUAGUAGAAUUCUGUACAGCGAUUUCUUAGAAAAUAUGUGAUUGAUUAGACCUUCUAACAAGCAAAAUGCACCCUUUAUUGAUGUUGUGAUACUUUAUAUUAAAGAAAUUUAACUAAAAGUUUUAAAACAAUUUGCAAAGCAAAAAAUUUAUUUUGUAAAGCAAUUCGAAAUUUGAAGCAUAAGAUAUAAGAACAUGCAACCUAAAAAAACUUUCACAGACUGUUAAAUUUUAAAUAAUGCAGAAUUCUGUGAAACCGUAUGUAAUCAUAUACGUGGAAGACCGCUCCAAACUAUAGCCAUUCCGAGAGGAGCAAAUGAUAUUCCUUAAAAUAUGAAUUUCGCCAGCAAUGAUAACUAAAGAAUCAAACAGUCUAAAUCUAAUUUCAAACUCCGUGAACUUUGAUACAAAUUGUAGUAAAUGUGUAAUAUAAGAACUGAUAAAAUAAAAAAAUGAAUAUUUUAAAAUAUUUAAUUCUUUUUAAUUUUAAUCUGUCAACAUCUGGAACUAGUUUUUGAAAAAAUUUGAAUGUUAGUAUAUAAAUCACGAAAAAAGUUUAGCUGGAAAUCAUUUAAAUUCGUUUAGCUUAUUACUUCUGAAUGUAGACAACAAGAAUAAAUAUGCAAUGCGUCUUUAAAAGUUUAAUAGUACUUAUAACUCAAAAAUGUGCGGUCCAGUAAAGGACUGUUUGCAGUUCAGUACUAGGCCAAUUUUUUGCUCACAUAAUUGGGCUUAUUGGUGUCCAUGAAAUAAAGUAGAUGAAUUUGAAUAUGUUAUAUAUAUAAAUGUUAUUUGACAUCUACUUCGGACACAGCAAGAAAGUGUGAAUCUAGUAAUUCAUGCACAUAUUUUACAUAUAAUUUUUAUGAAUAUAUUGAUUUGAAUUCUUGUUGUAUAUAAUUGAUAUUGUAUUGUUAGAGAGAGUUUUAUAUAUAAAGGGAAAGAAUGCAAUACAUUCGUAGUGGUCUUUUAACCCCUGUCCCUUCGCUCAUGCGUAUGUGAUGAUUUUGAGUGGAUGAAUUUGUUAUUCCUUCUGUGAAGGAACAAUAAUUGAUAACAAAGAAAGGCAAAAAAAAAAAAGUAAAAAUUGUUAUAGUGUCAAAAUGUUUGUGUGUGGUACUAGUGUAGUGGAAAGUCUUAAUGUGGAAUAUUAAUAUUAGAAUAAUUAAUAUUCUAAUUAUUACUAACUAUAACUAUAUCUAACUAUAUCUAAUUAUAACUAAUAUUAGAAUUAUUAAUAUUAGAAUAAUUAAUAUUAGAAUUACUAAUAUUAGAAUAAUUAAUAUUAGAAUAAUUUAUAUUAGAAUUAUUAAUAUUAGAAUUAUUAAUAUUAGAAUAAUUAAUAUUAGAAUAAUUAAUAUUAGAAUUAUUAAUAUUUGAAUAAUUAAUAUUGGAAUAAUUAAUAUUAGAAUUAUUAAUAUUAGAAUUAUGAAUAUUAGAAUAAUUAAUAUUGGAAUAAUUAAUAUUAGAAUUAUUAAUAUUAGAAUUAUGAAUAUUAGAAAAAUUAAUAUUAGAAUUCUGGAAAAAAGUAAAAAAUUAUAUAUUGUCAAAGGUUUCUGGAGUGAUAUUGUAGAAAGUCUGGAGUGUAAAGGUCUGACUAUUAAUAAGGUGGAGGCGUUGAGAAAUUGUAAUAUUGGUAUGGUGUAAACGGUGUGGAUUUGGGAGAUUUAAGGAUUAUUAAUUUUUCUUUCCUGGUGUGGUUUAAUGAAAUAGUUUAUUAUUUGACAUCUCGUUGCAUGAUUUUAAUUUUAUAAUGAAAGUGUUGCAGCAUAUGAAGGUAUAAUUCUAAGAAAUUUAGCCAGAGAUUUCUUCAGUAAAGGAAUCAAAAUUAUUGAUGGCUUUAAACGUUUAUUUUAAACAAUUCUGGUGUAAGCGACUAACAUUAAAAAAUGUGUUGUGUAUUAUUAAUAAUGGGGUUUAAUAAAGAUUUUAUUUCGUCUAAAUGUGUGUAUAUGUUGUGUAUAUGUAUGUACGUAAUUGUUGAGUCCAAGAAUAAAAAUACUCCUAGGGUUAAAGUUAGAAAAAGUAACUUUUAUUAUUAAGGAUUCAAUAGCACAAAAUAGUUGUUUUAAUGAUUGCAAUGAAUUCAUUACGAUUAAUUUUCAGCAUAUCGAUAUUACUGAAAUAAAUUUGCUUCAAAAUCAUUUAUAUUUAUUCAUUUCAUUUGAUAUACAAAAUUAAUGAACUUGAUUCAGUAAGUAAUGCUCGUGCUAAUGCUUAAAGUAAUCUGUACGUGCUCCCUCUACAAAGAUAUGAAUAAAACGAAAUGAAAUUUGAGAAAUUCUAACGAACAAAAAGUUAAAAUUCGUUGCAAGAAAAUCUAAUGGUUAUUCUAAAUUAUUACAUAAAUUAUAACUUUUAUAGUUUUUUUGAGAAUAAAAUUAUUUUAUGCUGCUGUUAAAGAUACAUUUUUGAUAAAUUGAUCACUACUUUCAUCUACAAAGAAGUUAAAGAUAAAUAAUAUUAUAUAAAAUAUUGCUAUUUUUUAUAUAAGAAUAAUUACAUUGUUAAAUAAAACCAAGAAGUAUAAGGGCAUCUUUGUUUCAUAUUAGAUAGUUUUCUAAAUAUUCUGAUAUUGAUAAAAUAAUUUUAUUUAAAAUCUACCUUUCCUAAUGUGCACUUUUUACUUUAAUCUCUUGAAAUUUCUAUAGAAAUAGAUUAAUUACGACAAUCUAGAAAAUUUAAUAACAGACAAAUAGAAAUUAUUAUCUAUUUAUGUCAUUUUAUCUUUCAGUAAUAUAGUGUUUAACUUUUUAAAAAUCAAAUAAUCAGCUCAAAAUUUUGAGGAAAAAGUUUGUUGCAUUGCAAUUAAACUGAUUAACUAAUUCAUUUUUUAUGUCGCAUUUGCAUAUCUAAAACACUGAUAACAAAGAAUUACUCCCUAAAUUGAAAAAAAAAAAUAUCCUUUCGAGAUUUAAUAGUAUGAUACAUUACAAAUGUUUUGUAUGGCUGAUGUCAAAUGUUUGAUGUUUGACAAAAAUAAAUUAAUCAUCGUGUUUCUGAAAUAUAUAGUUGUAUUUUUAUGUGCUUAAUAAGCGUAUUUGUAAUAGUAUAAUUAGUAUUUACAAAUACGGGUUUUUUUUCCGAUUUUGUUCUCUAGUAUCAAUUAUUUUGAAAUAGGGAUUAUGUUGAAUAUAAUUCUACAUCUACUCGGGCAAUCGCAACAAAAAGUGUGUAUCUAGUUAUUGUAUUUUUGUCUUAUGUGUUUCUUUUUUAUGUGCUAAAUGGGCUAUUGACCAUUUUUAUUAUUCCAUGAUUAUAUGGAAUUUUUUUAUAAAGGCGGAAGAAGAAACAGAAGCCAAAUGUAAAUAGCUACUAUUAAGGUAGCAUUGCUGGCAGUAGCCAUCUCAAUUAUGUUCAAGAUCAUGCGCUUAUCUUAGAUCCAUGUCUUACUCAUUCUAAAAAAAUUGUUAAGGUAAAAAAAAAAAAAAAAAAUGUAGAAAAAGACACAUAACAGGUGUCUAAUGUUUUGCAAUUGAUUUGAUUAACUAUCGGCAAAAACAUAGAUGACAUUUCAUAUUUAAGAAAGAAGAAGUGUUUUAAAUUUAAAAGGGUAUUUUUGAAUUGAUCUUUACAUAAGCGCAUGUGAUUGAUGAAUUAGAUCGAUAUUUUUUUUACUUCUUCUACGAAGGAGUAAUCAAAAAAUUGACCAACUUAUUGAAAACAAGAAAACGAGAAAAAAAUAGAAAAAAAAAUAUAUAAAAAAUAACAAAAAAAAAGGAAAAAAAAAAGAAUAACAAAUGUUUUAAGUCUUAUUGUUUUUAGUUUUUUUUUGCUUUUUUAAUUAAAAAAAACCCGAAAUAUUUCGGAUGUCAAUGAAUAAAGCUAUACAGCUAAGUUCAUUUUUAAGCCCGGUGUUUCUUGUUAUGUAUUGUUGCAUGGUGGUUUGGGCCUAUACUAUUAUCCUUAGAUUAAGAUUGGUAUACAUAUAUAUACAUUGAUAUAUAUAUUAAGAUUUAUAUACAUAUACAUACAUUGAUAUAUAUAUUAAGAUUUAUAUACAUAUACAUACAUUGAUAUACAUUGAUAUAUACAUUAAGAUUGAUAUACAUAUACAAACAUUGAUAUAUAUAUUAAGACUGAGAUUCAUGCACAUACAUAUACAUACAUUGAUAUAUGUAUUAAGACUGAGAUUCGUGCACAUACAUUGAUAUAUAUAUUAAGACUGAGAUUCGUGCACAUACAUUGAUAUAUAUAUUAAGAUUGAUAUACAUACAUUUAUUCGCUGACAUAUGAUAUUAAUAUUGUAAUAUGGGAUACUUAUCAUUAUUAUUGGUUUACUUUAUUAUUUUAUGAAAUACGUAUUAUUUUGUAGCUAUUUGUAUCUAUUGGGAGAUAUAUAAAAUCUAUAUGUCGCAAAUAUGGCACAUUUGUUCAUAUACUAUUGUUACCAUGUAUUAAUUAGUUUAUUGUUUAACUUUAGAGACAUUUAUUUUAAAGGGCGGAUAAUGCCAUGGCAUUUCGUCCAGCAUGCCCUUUGCUCAUGCUAUUGUGAUGAUUAGAUCAAUUUCGUAUUGCCCCCUUUUGGAUUUGCAAUAUAAAUUGAUUGGUGUUUGGGAUACAUAUAUAUUCUUUUGUGGUUUUGAUUUAUAUAUACUGAAAAUAUUUGGGUAUGUAGAAAUGAAUUUAUACGAAACAUAGAUAUCACUAUUUUAUUGGUAUUUGAGAAGUUUUGGAAUGUCUUUGGUAUUAGCUUUAAUAGGUGCCUACACUGGUCAGAUGGCCUGAAGAAGCUGAAACUCGAACAUAUGAAAGUUUUAAUAUUUCAUGUCUGGAACCGGCCAAGAUAUACAUCAAGGCAUUUUUAUUUAAUUAAAAUUACUAAAACUCAUAUCGUAUAUGAAAUAAAAAUGCUCAAAAAAUUACAUUUUCUAAAAUUUUCUUCAUAAAUUAAUGAAAAUUAAUGAAUUCCUUUUGAAAAAAAAGAACAUAAGAAUUAAUGUAAAAGACUUCGGUAAUCAAAGAGUAAGAGCUGGCUUUCAAAAUGUGAAUUAUGUAAAUUUCUGUUUCGGUAACAUCACGUUUAUUAAGAGCUGUAGGAGUAAAAAUUAAUAUAAGAACCCAAAUCGGGAAUAAGUAAUAUAUAAUAGUUUGGUAAUAAAUGAUUAAUAUAAAAAUUAAUACAAUAGAAUAAGAGCUAAGUUCGGGCUAAGCUUCACAAAUCAGUACCGUGUAGGUCUAUACUUGGACGUUAUUUAGCUUAAGUAGAGUUAUUAUAACAAUUAUGAAUAUUAUUAAUGGAUUAGGGAUAUGUAUAGAAUUAUAAUAAAGUCGUAAGUAAUAAGCAUUUGAGAGUUAUAAGUACUAAUAAUUUUUUCGAGAUUUUCUAAUAUUAGUUGAUUUGUUGUGUUUGUGUUUAUUUGUAAUUACUUUAAGAUUAAGUAGCUCAAUUUUUGUGAUGAUUUCGAUUAUUUAAUUAUUUGCUGAGUUGAUUUGUUGGCGAAAGGAAUAUUUUUUGUUAAUAUAGUUGAAGGUAAUUAUUGAUAAUUUUUAACAAUUCAGUCUUUGAUACUAACAGAGAAGGAAUGAGAUAAGCUUGUUCAUAUCUAUUCGAUUCAUGUUUUUUCUGUAGAAAUAGGUAUUUUUAAAGCCUAUGCAGAGCUGAUCCAGAAAGUGUUCAUUUGUACAUAUCUGAAGGAAUAUUUUGGUUGUAAACUAACAAAAGGUUAUUAUCCAUAGUUAGCAUGACCUGUUGUAUUGUAUCUUAUCAAUGGGAUUUAAUAAAAGCUUCAAAUUUUGGUCUAAAA